CCUACGGGAGGCAGCAGUAGGGAAUAUUGGGCAAUGGACGGAAGUCUGACCCAGCCAUGCCGCGUGCAGGAUGAAGGCCUCUGGGUUGUAAACUGCUUUUAUAUAGGAAGCGGUACUAUAUGAAUAAGCACCGGCUAACUCCGUGCCAGCAGCCGCGGUAAUACGGAGGGUGCAAGCGUUGUCCGUAUUUAUUGGGUUUAAAGGGUGCGUAGGCGGCCUUGUAAGUCAGUGGUGAAAGCCUCCAGCUCAACUGGAGAACUGCCAUUGAUACUGCAAGGCUUGAGUACAGACGAGGUUGGCGGAAUUGAUUGUGUAGCGGUGAAAUGCAUAGAUACAAUCAAGAACUCCGAUUGCGUAGGCAGCUAACUAGGCUGUACUGACGCUGAGGCACGAAAGCGUGGGGAGCGAACAGGAUUAGAUACCCUUGUAGUC
rnacentral:rRNA from 1 species